UGAGUCGAGCCACGACAAAAAAUAAGGCACUUGGUAGGAGGAAACCUACUUUUUCUUACAUAAUUUUUUUGUUUUUUGUUGAUGUACGAGAAUGAGAAAUUUGGUUAAGGAAUUUGGUGGAGAUAGAGAAAAUGAGAAGUAGGUGAACUGUGAUCUUUGAGUAAGUUAAAUAGAGGCUAAGAGGUGAAAGAGGUAAGGGGGAAUAAAAGAUUCCCCAAAAUGUGGAAAAUUUUGCCUUUGAAGUUUUUUUGGGUACAAUUUCUAGUGAAUUAAUGCAAAGUCAAUGUAUUGCGUCGAUAUGUAUGAUUCCCACACUUAGAAAAUUUUUUGAAGGCAAGUUCCAGUGAACCGACAUGAUGCUGACAUAUCAUGUCAGUCCUUCUAACAUGUUAUCCAUCGUGCUGCAUCAGUGGUCACCUAAGCAACACUUAGAAUAAUUUUUUGACGUAAUUUUCAUUGUAACGAUGCGAACUCGAUGAGUCGCGUCGUUCACAUCAAUGCAAUUGUUGACGCAUCGCAUUGCUUGGCCUUUUUGUUGUGAAAUUUACCCUAAAUAGAUCCCUUAUUUCCCUCCUCUAUAUAUACCUAUUUUCUCUCAUUCACCUAACCUCCUAAAACCCUAGCCACCUGCCGCCUGAAAAUCCCCUUAGCCCUAAAUUAAUUUCUUUCAAUUGUGUCCUCUCUUGGUAAUAAGAACAAGCCCAUUGCUACAUCUUCAUAUUUUUCACUAAUUGAGAGGUAUAAUGUCUAGCUAACAACAACAGAGAAAAGGAAAGAAUAUGGCUGGAUCUUCUGUAUCCGAAUGUAAAAGGAGUCGACAGGCUGACCAGGUACCCCCAGCUCCAUUUAUCCCACGAGGGAAAUCUUGGAGGUAUGGUACCAAAGUAGUUAUGGAAGCUGGGAAGAAAUGGUAUUCCCAACAUAAGGAAUCCAAGUAUUCGGUGGACCAAUUUGUUGAUAGGGUCCGCUUUCUGAAGGAGUACCCAAGUAUGGUACGCCGGAUUGAGGCACUAAACAUGACCUUCUUGUUCAAACAACCAUAUGAGUGUAACCUGAGUUUUGUGCGGGAGUUUUAUGCUAAUUAGGACUCACAGAACAAGGAUGCAGAGGUUGAGAUAAGGGGUCGGGUGGUUACGUUUACUGCCAACACUUUUAAUGAUCUACUAGGUAUGCCCAUAAUGGAUGUCGAGCCAUUGAAGAGGUUGAAUACUGAGCCACCUUACAAAUACAUUCACCAUCUUUUAUGUGGUACUCGUUUGACUUCCCGGUGGAUUCGUUAUAAGGAGGGCAGCACUCACGUAUCACUCCCCUUUGUUCACAUGAAUAGGGAGGCACGUUUAUGGUCCAGGAUUAUAUAUGCUUGCAUAAUCCAUGAGAUAUAUAUGACAGAGGUGACACAUGACAUGAUGUGUAUCAUUUAUGCCCUUAUGCGCACAGAUAUUGAGUUGAAUGUCAGUAUGAUUAUCUUCUCAGCCAUGUAGAAAUCUAGGUUCUUGGGCUGAUAUCGGUAUGGUUUUGGCGGGUUGUUGACUCGAUUUCUAUGGGAGAAGGGUGUACCUGAGCAGGAUGUUGAUUAUAAACCACUAGUAACCCCUAAAACGCUGGAUUUCUCUCAAACUAAGGGGCCUGCUCCUUAUGGUGCUACAUUGACUAUGCCCGAGCAUCAGGCUCAGAAUAAUGAGAUUGCCGCCCAAAUGUAUGGGCUUACAAUGCUGUAGUUUAGGAUUGAGGGAUGUCCAGCCACCCGAGAAAAGAUUAGAGAUAUAGAGUGGGACUAUCCACUCGCGUGUAAUAUCGGACCAUGCUACGGAUAGACCCUAAUUUUGAUGAGCCAAUAGAGGGUGAUGUCCUCAUGGAUGAGGAGAGAAAGUUACUAUAUUUAGAUGAUGAGUCAGAAGAGAAGACGAGGAUGAUGUUGAUGAUGAGCCCGACUAGGGUAAUGAGGAGUUUGAUGAUGACAUAGCGGACAUGUGACCAGGGAGUCUGUCCCCACGUCAUACCAUGCAUAUUCUGUAAGCAUUGGGAUAGUGCUUUCUUUUAAGUGUGGGGUAGUGGAAUUCUCAUUCCUUUUUUUUCUUAUGUCUUUAUUUCUUUUGGACAAUUUAACUUUUGCUUUUGGAUGUUUUAUUUUGCUAUUUGGAUGUUUAAUUUAGCAUUCUAGCUAUUCAGAACACUAUGUCUAUAGUAGUUAGUAAGUUGAAAGUAUUGCUGCAAUUUGCCCUCAAGGCA